UGUAAAACAAAUCGGAACAGUUAACAUCUCCAUUACAACACAAUCACAAUGACUCCUGCAACAUCACAAAUAUUUACACGUAAAGUGUUAUUAAUUCUAUUCGUGUGUGUAUUAACACCUGCAGUAUCCUCAAAAGAAUAUUUUUGUUUAAUGAUACCGAGUUGAAUUGGUUUGCUGCUUUCCAUGCUUGUCAUUUGAAAAACAUGACAUUAGCAACAAUAAAUUCCGAAGCCGAACAAAUUGAUAUUGGAAACUUAAUUGGUAGUUGGAUAUCAACUAAGAACGUUUAUUGGACUUCGGGAACUGAUCAAGCCAAAGAAGGAGAGUUUGUUUGGAUGAGCACAGGACAACCAAUUAGAUACAAGAAUUGGUAUUAUGGGGAACCCAAUAACCAUGGAUCCCAGCAUUGUCUUACUAUUUCUAACAUCAAUAGUCAUCAGUGGGAUGACGACCAGUGUUCAAACAAGUAUUUUUACAUUUGUGAGGAGAAAACUGAGUGUUCAAGGGAGAUUGUGUUUGACUUACUUAUAUCCUAGGGUUAGGUUACAAUAACAAGUAAAAGUAGUGGAUUACACUAGGUAUUAAAAAGGUACAA